UGGAUUUUGAUAAUUUAUUGCAUCAUCCUCUGCUCAUGCCAUCUUAUGAGAGAGAAAAUUUCUCCACGAGGGCCUUCAGAAAACUUGAACAUGUGAAAAACUGGAUUGAGGACUACAAAUCUUACGAGAAAAGAAAAUACAUGGGUGAAAGGAAAAGGAAUACUAACAUCAGAAACAGCAUUAAAUGUUCCAAGCAUCAUAUGGUUUUUAAUUCUAUUUAUCAGCGUGAUAAAGAUAGUUAUGAAGAUAAUGUUGUGGGGGUGCUUAAUUACUCAAAAAAUAUUACAAAACAUCUCGGUGAACAUUUGAGCAAGACCCAUGAAGACCUGGAACCACAAGAAAUAGAAGAAGCGCUUACUGCAAUGUUUCCCGAAAGACAUAUAGAUCUAUAUGAGUUCCUAGUAAUUCACAAGAAUAUUAUGCCGGGUUACACGUACUGAUUAGGGAGUGUCGAAGCAGAAUCUAUCAUCAACUACAUCUGAUCACAGCUUAACGCAGAGGUGAUUUUGUGUUCCUACCCGU